rnacentral:rRNA from 1 species
AUACGUAGGGGACGAGCGUUGUCCGGAAUUACUGGGCGUAAAGGGCGCGCAGGCGGAUAUUUAAGUCAGCUGUAAAAGGCAUGAGCUCAACUCAUGUAUGCGGUUGAAACUGGGUAUCUAGAGUGCUGGAGAGGUAGGCGGAAUUCCCGGUGUAGCGGUGAAAUGCGUAGAUAUCGGGAAGAACACCAGUGGCGAAGGCGGCUUACUGGCCAGCAACUGACGCUGAGGCGCGAAAGCCAGGGGAGCGAACGGGAGUAGAUACCCCGGUAGUCCUGGCCGUAAACGAUGAAUGCUAGGUGUGGGUGUCGAGAGGCAUCCGUGCCGGAGUUAACGCGAUAAGCAUUCCGCCUGGGGAGUACGAUCGCAAGAUUGAAACUCAAAGGAAUUGACGGGG